rnacentral:rRNA from 1 species
UACGUAGGGUGCGAGCGUUAAUCGGAAUUACUGGGCGUAAAGCGUGCGCAGGCGGUUUUGUAAGCCCGGUGUGAAAUCCCCGGGCUCAACCUGGGAAUGGCAUUUGGGACUGCAAGGCUGGAGUGCGGCAGAGGAGACUGGAAUUCCUGGUGUAGCAGUGAAAUGCGUAGAUAUCAGGAGGAAUACCGAUGGCGAAGGCAGGUCACUGGGCUGACACUGACGCUCAUGCACGAAGGCUAGGGGAGCGAACGGG